AUGGAACGCUGGCGGCAGGCCUAACACAUGCAAGUCGAGCGUAGCGGCGGACGGGUGAGUAAUGCCUGGGAAUCUGCCUGGUGUUGGGGGAUAACGUCCGGAAACUGGCGCUUAUACCGCAUACUAUCAGAUGAGCUUAGGUCGGGUUGGCUGGUUGGUGGGCUAAAGGCUUACCAAGUCGACGAUCCGUAACUGGUCUGCGAGGGUGAUCAGUCACACUGGAACUGAGACACGGUCCAGACUCCGACGGGAGGCAGCAGUGGGGAAUCUUGGACAAUGGGCGAAAGCCUGAUCCAGCCACGCCGCGUGUGUGAAGAAGGUCUUCGGAUUGUAAAGCACUUUUAGUUGGGAGGCGUUAUCUACAGAGUAAGCACCGGCUAACUUCGUGCCAGCCGCCGUGGUAAUUC
rnacentral:rRNA from 1 species